UCAGCCCUCAGAGUGGAACGAGCACCGUCGGCUGCAUAAUGUGACAAGCCUGUCACUGCUCGACGACACUCUUACACAUGCACACGGUGGCAUGCCCGCACGAUGAACGCCCACCAGCAAAUUGCCGUCCUGGCACACAACAUCCACAGGCACAAGUAUGCAAGCAGAAG